rnacentral:rRNA from 1 species
AUUGAACGCUGGCGGCAGGCCUAACACAUGCAAGUCGAGCGGAUGAAGGGUGCUUUCUCCUGGAUUCAGCGGCGGACUGGUGUGUAAUGCCUAUGUAUCUGCCUGUUAGUUGGUUAUAACGUCCGUAAACGGGCGCUAAUACCGCAUACUUCCUUUGGUUGAAAGUGGUGGUUCUUCGGACCUCACGCUAUCAUAUGAGCCUAGGUCGGUUUAGCUAGUUGGUUGGGUAAAGGCCUACCAAGGCGACGAUCCGUAACUGGUCUGAGAGGAUGAUCAGUCACACUGGAAGUGAGACACGGAACAGAGUCCUAAGGGAGGAAGAAGUGGGGAAUAUUGGACAAUGGGCGAAAGGAUGAUACAGCAAAGCCGAGUGUGUGAAGAAGGUCUUCGGAUUGUAAAGCAAGGUAAGUAGGGAGGAAGGGAAGUAAGAUAAAAAAUUGAUGUAUUGACGUUAACAAAAGAAAAAGCACCGGCUAACUACGUG